UGAGCGCAGCAGCGGCUUCAUCUUGAAGAAGAGCUUCAUCCAGGACCAGUUCUUGACAGCGUUGAAGGCACGGAUAUUCCACUGGAUGGUGAGCUGGACAAAGAGGUCCAGGGACCAACGGGGCUGCCUCCAGGGCAAGGGUUCCCAAGCCCUAACUGUCCCCGCAGCCCUUGCAAGUGUCCUGAAGACCCUAGGAAUGGAUCCUGCUAUGCUCUGCGCCCUGGGGCCGGACUACACAGGGCUCACACCCCACAUUAGUCACCCUGCCCCCCUGCCAACCCGCUGUGAUGGGGUCUCCGCCUCAUAUGGUGGCCCUCCUGGGGCUGGAGAUCAUCACAGCACCCACCUCAGGGGACUGUCGCACACCUUAACCAAGAAUAUGCAAAUAAAGCCUCUGCCUGGGGCUGGCACUUCUA